CCCCCGAGAAAUGGCUCGACUACGAUGUCCCGUUAAAGAGGUCACGCCGGGGAUGAAAAGGUUGUCAGAUUCGGAUGUAUCGAUGACCGCCAGUGAUGCAGUGGACAGCUGUGAGGGUGAUCAGAUCCACAUGCCCCUGAUCUUGCUGAAAGUCACCAGAAGUUACCUGCUGUGAUAGUUAUGAACCUUUACAGUGUCACCUGACAUUGCCUGCUGCAAAUAGUUUUUAUUUAUUUAUCUUAAUUUGAUCUUUUUUUUUU